GAUGAACGCUGGCGGCGUGCUUAAUACAUGCAAGUCGAACGGUAAGGCCCUUCGGGGUACACGAGUGGCGAACGGGUGAGUAACACGUGGGUGAUCUGCCCUGCACUUCGGGAUAAGCCUGGGAAACUGGGUCUAAUACCGGAUAGGACCACUGCCUACCUGGGUGGGGGUGGAAAGCUUUUGCGGUGUGGGAUGGGCCCGCGGCCUAUCAGCUUGUUGGUGGGGUGAUGGCCUACCAAGGCGACGACGGGUAGCCGGCCUGAGAGGGUGACCGGCCACACUGGGACUGAGAUACGGCCCAGACUCCUACGGGAGGCAGCAGUAGGGAAUAUUGCACAAUGGGCGCAAGCCUGAUGCAGCGACGCCGCGUGAGGGAUGACGGCCUUCGGGUUGUAAACCUCUUUCAGCACCGACGAAGCGCAAGUGACGGUAGGUGCAGAAGAAGGACCGGCCAACUACGUGCCAGCAGCCGCCGUAA
rnacentral:rRNA from 1 species